UUGACGGGCCCCGCACAAGCAGCGGAGCGUGUGGUUUAAUUCGAUGCUACACGAAGAACCUUACCAGGGUUUGACAUACAAGUAGUAGGGAAAGGAAACUGGACCGACCCUUCGGGGAGCUUGAACAGGUGCUGCAUGGCUGUCGUCAGCUCGUGUCGUGAGAUGUUCGGUUAAGUCCGCUAACGAGCGCAACCCUCGCUGUGUGUUACAAGUGUCACACGGGACUGCCGGUCAUAAACCGGAGGAAGGUGGGGAUGACGUCAAGUCAGCAUGGCCUUUAUAUCCUGGGCUACACACACGCUACAAUGGGAAGGGACAAUAGGUUGCGAAACCGCGAGGUGGAGCCAAUCCAGCAAAACUUCCCUCAGUUCAGAUUGCAGGCUGCAACUCGCCUGCAUGAAGUUGGAGUUGCUAGUAAACGCAGGUCAGCCAUACUGCGUUGAAUACGUUCCCGGGGCUU
rnacentral:rRNA from 1 species